AAAGGAAUUGACGGGGACCCGCACAAGUAGCGGAGCAUGUGGUUUAAUUCGAAGCAACGCGAAGAACCUUACCUAAGCUUGACAUCCUUUUGACCUCUCCCUAAUCGGAGAUUUCCCUUCGGGGACAGAAGUGACAGGUGGUGCAUGGUUGUCGUCAGCUCGUGUCGUGAGAUGUUGGGUUAAGUCCCGCAACGAGCGCAACCCUUGCCUUUAGUUGCCAGCAUUAAGUUGGGCACUCUAGAGGGACUGCCAGGGAUAACCUGGAGGAAGGUGGGGAUGACGUCAAAUCAUCAUGCCCCUUAUGCUUAGGGCUACACACGUGCUACAAUGGGUGGUACAGAGGGCAGCCAAGUCGUGAGGCGGAGCUAAUCCCUUAAAGCCAUUCUCAGUUCGGAUUGUAGGCUGAAACUCGCCUACAUGAAGCUGGAGUUACUAGUAAUCGCAGAUCAGAAUGCUGCGGUGAAUGCGUUCCCGGGUCUUGUACACACCGCCCGU
rnacentral:rRNA from 1 species